GCCCCCAUCGUCUAGCGGUCUAGGAUCUCUGGUUCUCAGCCAGAAGACCGGGGUUCGAGUCCCCGUGGGGGUA
rnacentral:tRNA from 1 species